GACGAACGCUGGCGGCGUGCCUAACACAUGCAAGUCGAGCGAAUGAAGUUCCUUCGGGAAUGGAUUUAGCGGCGGACGGGUGAGUAACACGUGGGCAACCUGCCUCAUAGAGGGGAAUAGCCUUCCGAAAGGGAGAUUAAUACCGCAUAAGAUUGUAGUAUCGCAUGAUACAGCAAUUAAAGGAGCAAUCCGCUAUGAGAUGGGCCCGCGGCGCACUAGCUAGUUGGUGAGGUAACGGCUCACCAAGGCGACGAUGCGUAGCCGACCUGAGAGGGUGAUCGGCCACAUUGGGACUGAGACACGGCCCAGACUCCUACGGGAGGCAGCAGUGGGGAAUAUUGCACAAUGGGGGAAACCCUGAUGCAGCAACGCCGCGUGAGUGAUGACGGCCUUCGGGUUGUAAAGCUCUGUCUUCAGGGACGAUAAUGACGGUACCUGAGGAGGAAGCCACGGCUAACUACGUG
rnacentral:rRNA from 1 species